rnacentral:lncRNA from 1 species
UAGUUCAUUUUACUUCCAAAUACCCAUUUGAGAUCUUUUUCCUUCUCUCACUUCUCAGCUACUUUGUUUUCCCUGUUUCUCUGGCUCUAGCCUUUGCUUCAUCUAGCAUGUUUUCUAAUCCUCAUAUCUUCUUUAUACCCCUCUCCUUGGGUAAAGGGCUUUCCUUUCUGUGGAAUUAUUCAUUAGCCAACAGUAGAAACCUUCUUAAAAGUCAUCAGAGGAUUAAAAAUAAUACUUUUUCCAAAAAUAUAAUUUUUUCAGUUAAUCAAAACUUUCCCCCAUUAUUUGAAUAUUGCUUCUGUUUCUUAUGCUAUUUUCUUUCCAAAAAAUUGUUGAUAUUUAUAAGUUGAUUUCCCAGUUUUUUCAUUUUUCUUUUUGUCUUUUUUUUCCUUUUCUCUGAGAUGGAAAUGUUUCUUAAAUUUAAUCUUAAAUUUCACUUUGAGUUUUGUAGGUCCAAAAUAGCAUUCAUGAUCUUUGCUCAGGUCAUUAAUUUAUUCAUUGAGUAUCUGGGCUAGUCAUUGAUAUGCACAGGCAAUUUCAGGGCUUCCUAAUAUCACUUCAUUGUCUCAGUGUUGUGAGUCAAGGAUUCUUGAACUGAAGCCUUGAGUUGUGAGUUGUGGAAUGUCUGGGGCAAGGAGAUAUUUUCAGAAUUCCUUUGUUUUUGUCUUGAACAUGCUGCCUCCUUUAAAUGGAUAGUCAAGUGUGUCAUCUCUCAAUGCCUUUUGUAGACUGUUGGCAUGUAUCUAGUAGGAAUUCUUCCAACUUUCAGGCAAGUGAAUAGCUUUCACCUUUGUUUUUUCAAAGUUGAUUCACAAUUUAUAUAUCCCACUAUUCGUUUCAGUGGAAUUCUGAAUAAGAAAAGGUAAUUCUUAAAUAACAAUGCCUUUAAUCUUUGAAUAUUGAAAUUUUUUGGAUCAUUUAUUAUGAGGUACAAAAGAUGUGCAUCACCAGUUAUGGCAAAAUAAAGGUAAACAACAUUUUCCAAAUUAAUAAUAUGGAUUUUUAAAACUAACUUAAGAAGUAACUGAAUAUGUUGACUAAUUAUUUUCAGAACAGAGCAGGAAAACUUUAACAAUAUUAAAAUUAAAGUAGUUGAUUUUUGUCCCAUAUUUUUUCAUAUGUAAAUGGGCAAUCCAAAACAGCCACACCCAGAUGGUCUUUCAUUGAGCUACUUGAGAAUGCUUUUCUUCCUAACUUAUCUUUGUAGGCCCAUCAGCCUAGAGUUAAAUUUAAGAGUAGGCCAUGAAGAAGGUUUUUAAUUAUCUUUUUAUAGGUAAUAGAGAUUCUUUGAUAACAAGUGUAAUAAAAACUAGCAAAUGCUUCUAUUUACAAAUAAUGGAAAAUAUAAUUUAAAUAGCUUAUUAAGUAGGGAAAUUUACUGGUUCAUGAAAUUGAAAAGUCUAGUUUGAUUUGAUGGAAUGUUUUUAUCCAGGGGCCCAUGAUGUUAUCAGGUCUACAGAUCCAUUUCUCUGUGAUUCUUUUGACUCUCUUCUCCUGCUUAUGUCAAUUUCACCCUCAGGGGUUUCUAUAUGAUAGUAAACAUGGACAUCAUGGUUUCCAGUCUCACAUACACCACAGCUUUGAAAAGGAUUUGAAAAGACCACAUUAGUUCCAGUAAUGCAAGCAAAGUCCUGAGAUUCACUCCAUUUGGACUGCUUGGGUCAUAUGCCCACUCCUGAACAAUUAUUAUGGCCAGGGAAAUGGAUAGUACUAAUUGGCCAGCCUGAGUCAUAUGGGUUGGAAGUGGCAAAAUAAGCAUUCUUUUAACUACAUUCUUAUAACUACAUCCCUAAGUUGGAUAUCCAGAACUGUUGGGAAAGGCAUAUUGGACAUCCAUUACCCAUUUCAACAAACUUGAAGGUUUUAAUCAGGUGCUUAAGAUAGCUGCCUAGGGAGUUUCAAAAUUUUUUUCUAGGGAAAAUUGUUAGUGCUUAUUGUAAUCAUUUCUAAAGUUAGUGUAUACUCAAGGUGAAGUAUUCCUAACCAUCGGUUUUGCCCAUUAAUUUCCAUAGUGAGAACCCUGUCCCUCAUACUUAUUCCCUAAGAUAUUUAAAGCUCCAUUUAGUUCACAAAAAAGAAUAUUGACACUUAAAUCACUAAUGAGGGAAUUCAGCCAUGAAUUUCCAAAACUAAUUUAUGAAUCUUAUACUUGAAAAACUGCUUAGUGAACAAAUUAAUAUUUUCUCUAGUUUGUCAACCUUCUCCAUCUAAAUUAAAGUUAGACUAUCAGAAAGCAAUACAGCUGAAUGGUAUUAUCCCAACACUCUGGAGAAAUAAUUUCAUGGAGUGAAGAUUUAGUAUCAUAUAUGUUCUCAAUUUUAUAGAUGGCUACUUGGUUGACAGAAGUUUAUAUUAAUUUAUUCAGUGUAUUUUAUUUAUAUAUAUCUGCCAUAAAUUCUUUCUUAACAUUAUUGCUAAUGAAAAAUUUUAUCCCUGAAAAAGUAGCUGAUAUGAUUCCUUCUAUCAAACAAUAGGAAAAUUUGAAAGCAAUUAAUAUUUCUAAUACGGCCAUUAUACAUUUCAGAUCGUUUUUUUCCUUUUAUUUUGGCUGCCAGGAAAUCCAGAGUAAAUAUAGUGUUCCCUGGAGUUCCCAUUGUGGCUCAGCAGAAAUGAAUCUGACUAGGAACCAUGAAGUUGCAAGUUCGAUCCUUGGCCUCUCUCAGUGGGUUAAGGAUUUGGCAUUGCCGUGAGCUGUGGUGUAGGCCAGCAGCUACAGCUCUGAUGCCGCCCCUAGCCUGGGAACCUCCAUAUGCCGUGGGUGUGGCCCUAAAAAGCAAAAACCAAACAAACAAACAUGUUCCCAAUUUCUCUACUUCCUCUCAGGUUGGUAAAGUAACAUCUAUCACCCUCCUUUUAGCAACUUGUCUAGUUUCUAGUCGCAUAUUUAUGACUUUUCUCAAGUAAUUUUUGAAAAUAAGCAGAAGUCUUGCAUGCAUAUAUAAAUGACAUACACUGUGUUGCUUUUUUAGUUGAAGUUGUUUAGUACUUUAAACUACUUCAGGAGCUUAUUGAUAGAUUCUGAAGUUCUCAGUAGGUUUUCCUUCCAUGCUGUUCUUUCGAAUUCUGUAGUCAGCACAGUCUAGAUUUGGUAAUUGUAGUUAUCAAAUGAAUUAGGUUGCAGCCUCACAAAGCACAGCAGCUACUCGAGUUAUAGCUUCAGAGUGGGGACAGAUCAUGCUGAUGCUAAAAAUCACCACCACUUGUUCACUAAGGCAUUGAGAUCUGGAUUUGUCUUUGUUCCUUGCUUAAUGUCCAGUAUUGAGAAAAGGUGAAUGAGCCAAGAUGUUUCCAUGUUCUUAAACUGCAUGUGACUUUAAAAUUUUUUUCCUGGUAACUUGUCUUUUGCUGGCAAAGAAACUAACACGUAAAACACUAGUUAAUUUCUCCACAUGAUUUAAUUUAAUAGAUGUUGAGAUGUGAGGCUUAAAAAAAGUGGACUCUGGUGUCUGGAGACCAGCUGCAGAAUGCAUGAGUCUUCAGAAUGAACCUGAAAACUUCUCCACUGCAUAGUCUGAUGUCCUCAUUCAUGACAGUCAGUGACAAUUUAUAUCAUGUUGCAUUAGUGUAAAUGAACAAAACAAAUAAGCAUGUAAUAAUAAUAAUAGCACAAUGAAUACCAGCCAGCGACGUCUAGCUACUACCUUUUCCUUUAUUUAAAAAAUGGAAAUUACACAUAAAUUAUUUUAUACAUAAUUUGGAAUUGUACAUAAAUUUGUCUUCUGAAUUUAAAAGGUGACAUAUUAUAGGCAAAGCAAAAAUCUUUGUUUUGAAUCACUUGUAUUAGUUUCCUCUCUUUUAUAACAAAUUACCACAUACAUGAUUCAGUUUUAGGACACUUUGUUGUGUUCCAUUGAUCUAUUUUUUCCUAUACCAAGUCAAUAUAUAUUUAUAUUUUUAUAUGUAUGGAAUAAUAGCCACUAUUUGAAGAAGUAAGGACUCAAAUAUGGGCAUAUAUGACCCAAGGUAAAGUCAACUUGUUACAUAUUGAUUGAUUGAUCGAUUGAUUUUUUGAUUGAUUUUUUUAUAUUGGAAUAUAGUUGAUUUACAAUGUUGUGUUAGUUUCAGGUAUAUAGCAAAGUGAUUCAGUUAUAUAUAUAUAUCCAUUCUUUUUUCAGACUCUCUUCUCAUAUAGGUUAUUACAGAAUAUUGAGUAGAGUUGCCUGUACUAUACAGUAGGUCCUUGUUGAUUUUAUAUGUAGCAGUGUGAAUAUUUUCAUCUCAACCUCCUAAUUUAUCCCUCUCCCUCACCUUUCCGCUUUGGUAACCUUAAGUUUGUUUUUGAGGUCUGUUUUUGAAGUCUGUUUUAUGUUGUAUAUUAGUUCAUUUGUGUCUUUUUUUUUUAGAUUCCACGUGUAAGUGAUCUCACAUGAUAUUUGUCUUUGUCUAACUUACUUCACUUAGUAUGAUAACUCUAGGUCCAUCCAUGUUGCUGUAAAUGGCAUUAUUUCAUUCUUUUAUAUGGCCAAGUAACAUUCCACUGUAUACAUAUACUGUAUCUUCUUUACCUAUGUAUCUGUUGAUGGACAUUUAGGUUGCUUUCAUGUCUUGGCUAUUGUAAAUAGUGCUCUAGUGAACACUGUGCUGCAUGUAUCUUUUCAAAUUAUGGUUUUCUCUGGAUGUAUGCCAGGAGUGGGAUUCCUGGAUCAUAUGGCAGUUCUAUCUUUAGGUGGUUUUUUUUUGCAUUUUAGGGCUGUACUUACAGCAUAUGCGUAUGGAAAUUCCUAGGCUAGGGGUCGAAUCAGAGCUACAGCUGCCAGCUUACGCCACAGCCACAGUAAUGCCAGAUCCUUCACCCACUGAACAGGGCCAGGGUUCGAACCCAUAUCGUCAUGGAUACUAGUCAGGUUUGGUUCUGCUGUGCCACAAUGGGAACUCCUAUUUUUAGUUUUUUAAGGAACCUCCCUACUGUUUUCCAUUGUGGAUACAUUCUUACCAACAGUGUAGGAGGGUUCCUUUUUCUCCACAUCCUCUAUAGUUUAUUAUUUGUAGACUUUUUGAUCAUGGUCAUUCUGACUGAUGUGAGGCAAUACCUCGUUAUAGUUUUGAUUUGCAUUUAUCUAAUAAUUAGCAAUGUUGUGCAUUUUGGCCAUCUGUGUAGGACCGUAUUGUAUUAAUUAUUUUAAUUUUAGAACUUGUCUUGAUUUCCAGCUGGUAUAGAUAGAUAUCUUUUAUUUAUAUUAAAAAUGAUGAUAGCUUUUUUUUUUUGUUCACUGUGCAUUUAAGAAAAGUUUGUCAAAAACUUGAUGAAAAUGCUUGUGUUACUUUGAUUAGAUAGUAUUGGAUUAAUAAAUUAAUCCUGGGAGUACUGAUAACCUUCUAAUAAGCAACCUUCUUGCCUAUAAAUAUAUGUCUAUUUAGCAAACUCUUUUGUAUAUUUCAGAAAAGUUCCUUUGUUUUUAACAUAAAUGUCUUGUAUUUCCUGUUAGAUUUAUUCUUAAGCACUUUGUGGUUUCUAUUGCUAUUGUGAGUAAACUUGUCCUUUGGUUCUCUAGUACUUCCUAGAUUGACUAUUACAUUGUCUGCAAAAAUUGACAGUUUUGUCUUUACUUUCCAACCUUUAUAGCUCUUAUACCUCUUCAUUUAUUAUUUAUUCAUUCUUACUCCAGAUCUUAUUGCAUUAGCUGGAGCUUACAUUACAAAGUUAAAAAGUAGAAUGGCUGCCAUUCUGGUCUUAGUCCCAGCCUUAAAUGGGAUGCCUUUAAAAUUUCAGUAUUUCUCCUUCUGCCCAAUUCCAUUUGUCUCUUUUCAGCUCACAACAGACAAAAAUAACAGAACAAAAAUUUGAGUCUUUACAAAAUAAAAAUUAAAACCAAAAAAAUAAAUAGAUAAAAUUUAAGUAAACCUGAUCAAAAAAAUUUAUAAAGGACACAAGUAAACAACAUCAGAAUUAAAAGGGGGCAAAACUACAGAGACAUAGAGUCAACUUCAUGCUAAUACAUUUUACAAACUAGAUGAAAUGUAGUUUUCUCUAUGUGCUCUCCUUCCUUG